rnacentral:lncRNA from 1 species
CUAGCCUAUGAUUUGCAUUGGCCUAGGAUCCAACCUUUAAUCUCAUGUUGAUUACCUGUAGCAAAUAAAAAGAAAACAAAAAUUAAUACGACUGGGAGGGGGACCGCUCCACCGCCCUUCACCAUCUCGGAGGAGUUGGCUCUUGCCAACAACAAAGGUCGGCCAAUGAUGGUAGGAGUGGAUGGGGGGAUGUCGUCUGACCCCACUGCCUCGACAUCGAACCCGUUUGUAACGAGUAUGUAUUCAUGUAUUGGCAAUGGACAUAAAUAAUUGUCUUGCUAAUCAAAUGUGAAAUGAUUGAGUGUAAAUGAAUCGUGUCAUUUUUAGUUGAAGGUACAAACAUUGUUUUGGAGAAGCCGCCGACAAUUAAUCUCCAAUCAGAGGUAUAUAACUAUCAAAGCAGUGUCAGGUAUUCUUCUAAAUGUUUAAUUUUUUUGAAAGAAUGUCCUAUAAUAGGUGUCACUGAUUCUUGCAGGAAACACUGUCGGCCUGUGACUCCAGGGCGACUAUGGAGAGGGAAAUGGCAUUGGAUGAGCCAUCCACCUCAACCUCAACCUCCUCAAGGCCUUCUCGAGGGACAGACAAGGUUUUUAUUUAGGUUAUUCCUUUUGUAAGGUGCGCCACAAGGCUUUGACCAUGGUAACUGAAUUACGAUUGUAACCCAUAAUGCCUUUAGAUUGGAACAGACACUAUAAGGGCGCUGUACAAGCGCAACUUGGAGCUGGACAACGACAUCAAAGUCUUGGUGAAAAAAAAAUUGAAGAUC